rnacentral:lncRNA from 1 species
AUCCUGCGCGGAGAGGAGCCGGUGCAUUCCUGGCGCGAUCGCCUUUUAUUGAAGCUUUUAAUUAAAGGGGCCAGUUGGCGAGCCCCUGAAACAACCGCCAAAACCCCCAAAAGAGAAAAAUAAACGCUGUAGCCUUCGGGAACGGUUGUUUCGGCUCCUGUUCUGUGGGCGGCUGAGGACCGCCGGCUGCCGGGCUCGGAGAAGAACAGAACGGUGAUAGGAGAGGAAGUAGGAAGUACGCAGACCCCAGCCCAGCCUGCACCAGUGGGUCGCUAUGCUGCGAGCGCACACCGCAUACAUCAGCACCCUCGUUGUCGCGCAUUCGCGCGGUUUGGAGCUUGGUUUCUGAGGAUGAGAGUACGCUCUCCGUGGAUCAGCCAUACAUUUAGAAGUGGGUAUUUGUAUAAGGGCAACUUUCAGGCUAUAAUACAAUGGUAUGAUGGAGAAAGGACUCAUUUUUGCAUUAUUUAACAAUUGCUUACUAAUUAAACUGCUCUGCUUAUUGAAUACAAUUUUAGAGAAUUUGCUUCUUUCUUUGAAAUUAUUAGCCACUGUUUGCUUCUAAUCCUGAGGCCUCAGGAUUAGGGUCUCUGGAGGAGGGGGAGCGGGCUCAGCCAAAUACAGCUCUG